CGAAAAUAGUGUAGCGCAUUUCGGUGAAAAAAAAAAUGAUAUCGGGUGGCUGACGAACGUUUCCUGAAAACACUGCGUGCCAUCGGGCGAUUAACUCGAGGAAAAAUUGGCCUCACCGCGGGAAAAAAAAGUGGGCGUCGCAGCCGAUGAACUCUGCUCGUUUCUUUUCGCCUCGGGCCUUUUAACGAUUUCGCGCCCAGACUCUUCUCUCUUCCUCUCUUUCUCUCUCGAAUGCGAAGCUCGACGCUUCAUGACGAAGAUUCCCCAAGCUUUGGACUAAAAUUCUCCAACGGACACGCGAUAACAGCCAGUGUGUGUUACACGAUAAUCGCGAACGUUACGCCUAUGGUGGAAUUAAACGGUUUGCGGUUUCGUAUAAUCCAUUAUACAAGCCAUUGAUGAUGCAGUGUGAAUCUGGUAACGGAAUAACAAGGUAACGGAGAUCCGGGAUUUCACGUGGCAGACAGUCUGAGCUUGGAAUUCGUGGAACAAGUGGCCCGAACAAUAAUGCUCGUAUGCGUACGCAUAUUUGUUUCCGCUCCCUUUGAGACGAAAUUGCUCGAGAAGAACGCGCUUCUCAGACGUUCGUCAAUUCUCUUUUUCUAUUUCUUUCUUUCUUUUUUCAACAAACUCGAGCAGUGUGCACAGAGAAAGAGAAAAAAACUAGGACAAGACGUAGCUCUUUUCUUCUAAGAGUAAAGAUGAUUGGUCGAGAAAAUUAUUUAUAGUUCUCAAUCGUAACGAGAGAAGGCGCAACGAGUACAGAACGAAUCGGCAAAGAAAAUAAGAAACAUGGCGAAUCAUUGGAAUCCAUUUGAUUUCUUCGGGUGAAUGUUACAAAGAAAAAAAUAAUUUGCGUUCUUUUGUCUCGUUGGAUGAAUUAGAAAAGUGAAUUCAAAUAUAUAUAUAUAUAUGUUGAAAUGUGAAUAUCAAUUAUAAUUAGUUACUAUAUAUAACAGUGUUGUGAAAAAUGAGAAGAAACUUUCGAAUGUUUUCUGAACGCGAGAUAUCCAACGGCUCAUUUUUUUCGCAUCGGUCGAUCAACGAAUUUGUGCCUUCUGUUUUAAUUACCUCGAGUGAAAUUCUCUGUGCAUCGCUACAAACAAAGGAAUCAAGUCAAUAUCAUUGUAUAGGAUGGAUCAUGCUGUUCCACUCGUGAAGGAUUUUCGGCCAUACGAUAUAUUCCACUUUCACGAUUGCGUGUAAGCGAAAUGAUAUUUCUAUUUUUCACUCGGGAGGGAGAAAAGAAGGAGAAGAAAAUUCAAAGAAGCCAUUUGUCGAUUCGAUUCGAAAAUUUAUGUAUUGUACUCGGGAGGAAGAAUCGACACAAGCUGCUGCAUUUGCGGCCAAUAAACUAAAGAGGACUCGAAGGCAAGGGCAGUUAAGACAGUAACCCUCUCCCUUGGUAUGAAAAUCGAAGGGAACGAAGAGAGAGAGAAUCAUCGAAUUUUACGACGUCGUAUCGAUGCAAUAUUCGUCGUGGAUGGCUCGUGGAAAUAUCUUUGGAUGGCGGAGCCGCGUCCUUCCCUAAAGUCUCUCGCUUUAAAGCGAAAGGGAGGGCCGUUAAAUGCGAAAAUAGGGUAAACUUCUCGUCAACGCGUACCGUCUUGAUUCGAAAAUAUCCCGAGGCGGGGAGAGGAGGGGGUGGCGAUGUUCGAUGCAAGAGGCGAGAAACGGCGGAAUCAAAUAAAUAUACAAUCAGAAAAAGGAGGGAGGGAGGGAGGGAGGGCGGUUCUACUUUGAACGAAUGCUCGGCUCGACCCCAACCCUCUUCGACUAAAUUUAUCCUCCCCCGUGUUUGCUCGCCGACUAUUUAUUUUCUACAUUUAUGGAAUAUCUGAACUGUAAGCUUCUAGCCUCGACUAAACAAACCGUAAAGCGCGUUUAAAACGUGUUGGAAUAUAUGCGUCUCUGACAAUGUUGUUGUCUCGUGUCCGCUUUUUAAUUAACAAUUAACGAUUUUUCGAGUAACGUUCGUUCGAGUUUGAGUGUGAAAUAUCGUUUUAAGCGAGGGGGAGUUUUUUUUAAUUAUUUUAAAUAUUUUAAAAGAACGUUGAUAAUAUAGAAAUCAGUAUUUUAGAAAAUAGUAAUGAAUCUAAAACGUCUUUAGUUUAUUUAGAAAAUUUUAAAAGCAAAAAGAAAAAGAACUAUUAUAAAUUAAAGAAUUGGAAAAUUUGAAUUAUAGAAAAAUUAGAUUGAAAUAACAUAAAUUGAAUUAAGAUAAUUUUUUAAUAAUAAUCUGCAUUAUGAUUAAUUAGUUAAAAGAAAUCAUCCCUCAUAAAUUAUUUUAUUUUAAAAAUAUCUUUUCAAAAUUUCUAUAAAAUUUUAUGGUAAAAGGAAUAAUAAUUAUUCCAUUACAGAUUUAAUAUUACAUUGCUUAAUUUUCCCCAAGAAUUAUUUUCCCACCAAUUUUUCACAAUGGAAAAACUUCUUUCUCGUUCCCAAAGUUUUCAUCAUCGUCCGUCAAAAAUUUAAUUUUUCAUAACAAAUUUCAAUAUCAUUUUAAAAGCUUGCAAACAAAUAAUCCUCAUGACCUAAUUCCACCCAAUAAAUCCAAAAAAAAAAAAAAGAAAGAAAGGAAAAAAGUAGAUGAAUAACAUCAAUUUGUAUAAAACGUUUCUCCACGAAUAAUACUCGAAAGUGUAUGUUCUUACUAGGUAACUACCCUAAAUAAUUUCCAACCUCGAGGAGGAGAUGGAAAGCAAUGGAAAAUAAUGGCGAUCUCGAAAUUGGAGGGGAAAAAAAAACAAGGAGCGGAAAAUCGUAUGCGCACGCCUUGUAAAAAUAUCCAGGAGGAUCUCGGGGAGAUUAGUUAACAAGAUUACUUACGACUGUCAGCGCUCUGUAAGCAAGUUUCUGAAUAGGGCGGGUAUGGCGGGUUGUGGCGCGGAUGAUCUACUAUGCAGUCAGCCAGCCAUGUCAACGAUAUACAUUCAGCGCCCGGCAGCCGUGGCGCAAGUAGGGCUGCAAUGUCUGCGAAACGGUAAUGGAACGGCAAACGACCUGGGAUUUACCCCUUGGAACAUUCUAACAAAGCUCUAGGCCACCGCAGCAGCCACCUACCACGAAGAAGAGAGGGGAAAAAAAAAAAAAAAAUUGGACACGGUGAGAUGCGCUAUCUUCGAUUCGAGUGGAUCGAGUUAAUCCUGUCGAGAUGAAUUUUAAAUCUUCGCUAAUCUCCGCUCGCUUCCGUGAUCGUCGAUUUCGACGAUCAAUCGAAAAUGCGAGAGCAAUUAAUGUAAAUGUGACAUGAUACAUUUUAUUGGAUAUAUAAUUAUAGAUGUACAAUUUAUUUGUAUAUUGAAAAGUUAUAAAAAUAAUGAAAGGAUUUCAAUAAUGUGUUUGUAACGUGUUGCAAUAAAAUUGCAAUUCUUUCUAGGAUAUAUAAAAUCUAUUGAAAAGUUAUAAAAAUAAUAAAAGGAUUUCAAUAAUGUGUUUGUAAUGUGUUGCAAUAAAAUUGCAAUUAUUUCUAAUAUAUAUAUACAAUUUAUUUGUAUAUUGAAAAGUUAUAAAAAUAAUAAAAGGAUUUGUUAUUUCUAGUGUGGACAUAAAAUUGAUAAAAUCUUGGAGAAGGGAUUAAGGAUCUUUUGUUGAGUUUCGUGAAAACAUAAGAAUAAUAAUAUGUGAUAUAAUUUGUGGACAUACUUUGAUAAAAUCUUCGAGAAGGGGUUAAGGAUGUUUCAUCGAGUUUCGUGAAAAUAUAAGAAUAAUAAUAUAUGAUAUAAUUUGUGGACUUUGAUAAAAUCUUCAAGAAGGGGUUAAGGAUGUUUCAUCGAGUUUCGUGAAAAUAUAAGAAUAAUAAUAUGUGAUAUAAUUUGUGGACUUUGAUAAAAUCUUCAAGAAGGGAUUAAGGAUGUUUUAUUGAGUUUGUGAUAUAAUUAUAAGUAUUUUUCUAUUUUCGAAAGAGAUAAAAUAUUUGAGAAACGAAUAAAGAAAAUGGAAAUUUCUCUCGCGUGUAAGUUUUCAAAUAUUGGAUAAAUUUUGCGAAAAGACUCUCCAAGGUGCCAUACUCUCUUUACGCCCGAGCUGACAUAGAUAACGGUCUAAAAGCCUCGCGAGGUGAAGUCGACGAUAUGACGGCCACGAAAGAGCUCGUAAAAAUCGCUAACGGAAUUAAUGGCCUCGAUGGCCGUGAAGACGAGGAGGAGCAACAACGUCGUUAAAAAAUCCAUCCAGUGACGACGGACCAACGUUUCGAACGUCAAUUAUGUUUUCGCACGUCGAAAGGAGAACAUUUUUCGAAGGGUUGGCGAACUUUGUUCGCGGUGGUAAUCCGUUUUAAAUCGACAGGGUAGGGGGGAGGGAGGGGUGAAAAGUUGCGGAGAAAAAUGUCGCAGCGUCGACGAGAUGGAAUUGAAUUCGGUCGAAUUCAGAACGCCUUGUACUAGGGAGCUUCGAGGUAUUUCGAGGUACACGUAGGAAUAUAGGGAAUCACCUUGGGAGAUAUUUUUCGGGGGAGGGAAAACUAUAGUGAUGACGCGUGUUGUUGGAAUCUACUUAUUUAGAGUACAAGUAUGUCGAUAACAUAGUAAUUUUCAACUCUCAAUGUAGUGUCUAUUUUAAUAGGAAAUAAUUCUUGAAAAUAAUUUUUGCUUGAAGAAAGUUUUGCUUUCAAAUGUAUUUAAUUAAGGAUUGUUAAUCUUGGAUGGUUGCAUUCAACGUCUAUGUCUACUGUUUGAAGAAACUUUUCAAGAGCAACAAUUUUAAUUUUAAUUUUAAUUUUAAUUUUAAUUUUUCUCAAAUGUAUUUGUAUUAUAAGGUUAGACAAGUUUUGCAAGUUUUAAAGUUUUAAAGUUUGAGUUAAAUUGCAUUGUAUUAUGGUAAAGUUUUUAGUUUACUUGGUAUUUAUGUUAGCAAAAGUGAUAAUUUUGAAAUAGAAGGAAUGAUGUGUCAACGAUCUUUGCGAUGUAGGAUCCAAUUUCCUUGUUUAAUUAUUAUAGUUACGUUGAUCGUGGUUAGUAUUUGGAUGGAUGCCAUUUGGAAAGUCCGUGUGUUGAUAUCAAAAUGUUUCUUAAACUAUAAACUUCGGCUAAUGAUUGCAUUGAUUAUGAUAAUCGAUAUUGGUUACACAACGAAUAACAAACAAAUAGCAAAUAAUAAUUUUGCCAGCAGAGGGAUCCAAUGAUUGCAAUUUGAUAAUCAAGUUAAUACUUAAUUGUGUACAGUAGCUCGAAAUCCACUUUAAACCACUUUAGAGUUUCAACUAAUAAUUACAACAGUAGAUUAAAUACCAAAUAACAAACAAAUAUCAAAUAAUAAUUUUGCCACGUAGAAAUCCACUGAUUCCAAUAUAAUAACCAAAGUUAAACUACAUUGGUCACGGUUAAUACUUGGUUGAUAUAUUGUUUAAUAAUGACUCGGAACUCAUUUAUCUAACAACAACGUUAAAUAAUGAACAACAAUAAUAUUUACUUUCGUCUGACAGUUUCAAGAAAAAUAUAAAAAUAACACUGUAUCUACAUUGUAUGCGAUAAGUUAUAAUAUUUGAAACGAUUAUGUAGAGAAAUAUGUAAUCAAAAUUUAAUUACAUUGAUCAUUUGAUUAAUAUAUAAUUGGCAAUAAUUCAGAACUAUCUUUAAUUUAACAAAUACAUUGAAUAACGAACAACAAAUAAAACACGGAUACUUAUAAAUUCUAA